CAGUUACUUUGGGAAAACAUGCCAUCAUCCCACACAGUUGAGGACGCCCCACGCGAGACCCGCCCAGCCCAGCCCCCGAUGCCGACAGUCUUCAGAUGAGCUCGUGCGCGCGUGGGAAGUCCUACAGGCUGUUGUGUUUGGGCCUCGAUGUUGACAACACAGCCCAGGCAGGCCCAUGGCUGGGAGAUAAGCCUAUAGGAAAAGAAAGGCAGAAGUUAUCCACAUUACCUUCCGGGGAGUCCUCCCUAGCCUAGGAGCUGCCUACUGUUAUCAUCCAGCUUCAGGCAAGAAAGCAGGCUCAGUGAGAGCGGUCUGCUUCAGGAAGUGUUACGUUGGGUUUGCCUCGCCUACGUCGUCCUCUUUAAUCAUCCAACGGCUAACCGAUGGAAAUGAAAACGCUACCUCUGGCAGCACAGCAACUGGCCACACUGCCUGGCAGCAGAGGAGCCGAGUGGCCCGGGGUCGUGAGUCUGGCCCGGGGGUGGGGGGCGGGGUGCUUCCCGAUGGAUGGACCACAGCGCAGCCAGCUGCCGACCUGAGGAGCUGGGUGUAAUUA